ACUGCCGGUGACAAACCGGAGGAAGUGGGAUGACGUCAAGUCCUCAUGGCCCUUAUAGGUGGGGCUACACACGUCAUACAAUGGCUGGUACAAAGGGUUGCCAACCCGCAGGGGGAGCCAAUCCCAUAAAGCCAGUCGUAGUCCGGAUCGUAGUCUGCAACUCGACUACGUGAAGUCGGAAUCGCUAGUAAUCGUGGAUCAGAAUGUCACGGUGAAUACGUUCCCGGGUCUU
rnacentral:rRNA from 1 species